UACGGAGGGAGCUAGCGUUGUUCGGAAUUACUGGGCGUAAAGCGCGCGUAGGCGGCUUUGUAAGUUAGAGGUGAAAGCCCGGGGCUCAACCCCGGAACUGCCUUUAAGACUGCAUCGCUUGAAUCCAGGAGAGGUGAGUGGAAUUCCGAGUGUAGAGGUGAAAUUCGUAGAUAUUCGGAAGAACACCAGUGGCGAAGGCGGCUCACUGGACUGGUACUGACGCUGAGGUGCGAAAGCGUGGGGAGCAAACAGG
rnacentral:rRNA from 1 species